GAUGAAGAACGUAGUGAAAUGGGAUAAGUAAUGUGAAUUGCAGAAUUCAGUGAAUCAUCGAAUCUUUGAACGCACAUUGCGCUCCCUGGUAUUCCGGGGAGCAUGCCUGUUCGAGCGUCAUUACAACCCUCAAGCUCUGCUUGGUGUUGGGCCCCGCCGCCCCGGCGGGCCCUAAAGUCAGUGGCGGUGCCGUCCGGCUCCGAGCGUAGUAAUUUUUCUCGCUUUGGAGGCCCGGGCGCGUGCUUGCCAUCAACCCCCAAUUUUUUUCAGGUUGACCUCGGAUCAGGCAGGGAUACCCGCUGAACUUAAGCAUAUCAAUAAGCGGAGGA
rnacentral:misc_RNA from 1 species